UGAACAACAGCCUCUGACACUGAAUG
rnacentral:piRNA from 1 species